rnacentral:rRNA from 1 species
CGCGCAAAUUACCCAAUCCUGACACAGGGAGGUAGUGACAAGAAAUAACAAUACAGGGCAUCCAUGUCUUGUAAUUGGAAUGAGUAGAAUUUAAAUCCCUCUACGAGUAUCAAUUGGAGGGCAAGUCUGGUGCCAGCAGCCGCGGUAAUUCCAGCUCCAAUAGCGUAUAUUAAAGUUGUUGCGGUUAAAAAGCUCGUAGUUGGAUUUCUGCUGAAGCAAACCGGUCCGCCCUCUGGGUGAGCAUCUGGUUUUGUUUUGGCAUAUGCUUAGACUUUGCAGCUGCACUUGACUGUGUGGUGUGAAGGCUGAGCCAUUUACUUUGAGGAAAUCAGAGUGUUUCAAGCGGGCCAUUGCCUUGAAUACACUAGCAUGGAAUAAUAUGAUAUGACUGUGGUUUUAUUUUGUUGGCUUUUAGAAUUAGAGUAAUGGUUAAUAGGGAUAGUUGGGGGCAUUCAUAUUUAACUGCCAGAGGUGAAAUUCUUGGAUUUGUUAAAGACAAACUACUGCGAAAGCAUUUGCCAAGGAUGUUUUCUUUGAUCAAGAACGAAAGUUAGGGGAUCGAAGACGAUCAGAUACCGUCCUAGUCUUAACCAUAAACUAUGCCAACUAGAGAUUGGAGGUCGUUAUGCACACGAUUCCUUCAGCAUCCUAUGAGAAAUCAAAGUCUUUGGGUUCCGGGGGGAGUAUGGUCGCAAGGCUG